rfam:Vitrella brassicaformis CCMP3155 genome assembly, contig: scaffold174
GUGGUAUUAGUCCAGCGGUUAGGAUGUCACGUUGUGGGCGUGACGACCCAGGUUCGAAUGCUGGAUACCACA